UGGAGAACAAUUGGUCACCAUCUUCUUUAUAAGAGCCCUGAACAUAUUUGAAGGCCAGAGAAGUAGAUCAUAUAAUGGAAUGGGCUACCGAAAUAGCCCAAGAGAGGCUUUUUUAGUACUGAAAUAAACCCUCUAUGGCUGUGCACCCCUCGUUGUCAACUACCACCCCACACUGGAGCCGAUACAGGCAGCCAAUCAAUCAGCUACAAGGCAUACUCAGUGGGGAUCCCAUCCUGAAAGAAAUCUUUCCUGAACCACCUCUUCUGGCCUUCAAACAACCACCCAACCUCUCCAAGUUCAUCAUCAUCAGCAAGCUCCCCACAAACUAGAACACACCAACUCAAGCAGCACCAGACCUUGCCAGAACAACAGAUGCAAACCUAUUUUCAUGACAGAGAUAUAU